UUAAAGGGGAAGGGGGACAGCUCGGAGAGGACGAAGUUUGGCCAAGGUGAGGCCAAAUUUCUCCUGCAUGUCCAUGUCAUUUGGUGCAAUAUCACCCUCAAUUUUCCACUUAAAUGUAUUCAACAUUGUGCCUAGCAGUACUGGGACCAUCCUUAUUGCCAAUGGCAGACCAGGACAAAUUCUUCGACCAGCACCAAAUGGAAUUAACUCAAAAUCUUGACCUCGCACAUCCAAUUUUGAAUCCUUAAAUCUAUCAGGAUUAAACACCAAAGGGUCUUCCCAUAGAGUCGAGUCCCGGCCAAUUGCCCACACAUUAAUGAGCACUUUCGAACCUUUAGGGACAGUGUAGCCACACAGCUCAACAUCUUGCUCUACUUUUCGAGGUACCAAAAAAGGAGCUGGAGGGUGCAUCCUGUAAGUUUCUUUAAUAAUGCACUGCAAGUAAGGGAGUCGGGCAACGUCAGUUUCUUCCAUCAGGUUACCUUCUCCGAGGACUUGUACGAGCUCAGCUUGGACUUUCUUCAUAAUAUCUGGAGAUCUAAGAAGCUCAGUCAUAGCCCAUUCCACUACAUUCGAACUUGUGUCAGUUCCCGCAUUAAAUAGGUCCUGAGAUUAAG
rnacentral:misc_RNA from 1 species